ensembl:lncRNA
CGCACCCCCUGGCCAGGGUCUGCCGAGAAUCUGUAGGCCUGUAAGGACACAGUGGAUGCCUUGUAAGUCACUUGGCUGCUCAUGCUCCCACUGCAUGCCAAUUAGUCUGCAGGCUGCUCUUUUUCUGCUGCCAUCAGAACCACACUCCUGAAUCAGGGAUGUCUCAGGAACCACAUGACCGAGACACCAAGUGCUGAUGCUGAUGCCCAGUGUCUGUCAUCAACCUGGACCUCAAAUGGCCUUGGCAAACCCUGAACCCUUAGCAGACCAUUUUCAGAAUAGGUACUAUGAAAGUUACCUAUUUUACAAGGCCACCUUCAGUAUCCACAACAAAUGGGAACAAGAACAGGAAACUCAAGUGUGCAGAUGCUGAGCAUGAUAUGUUCCUAAUUCAACAUGGGACAGAAAAGAGGCCCUGUACACUGUUCCUACAACCUAGUAGAGGGAAGGCAAAACUUCCCCUCUUCGAGAACAUCACAAAAGUCCACUGCCCUGGAGGGUAAAGACUGAUGAGGCAUCACAAAGAAAAUUUCUGUUGUGGUUACAAAGAAAAAUGACUGGAAACAUGGAGAAGAAACACUUUGCAAGGCAGAUGGUAUCCAAAUCCUUGCUUUCAAUAUAAUUGAACCAGGUCAUCUAGUGAAGGAUCAUUUUAAAAUAUUUGAUCGAAAAUGGGAAGUGAUUUUUUUGGGAUGUAACUUGGAUUAUUUUAUUAUACACUUAGAAAAUUAAAACCAUUUACUGAUUUAUGAGAAAAGUUGCUCUCUGUAAUACUGCAAUGGAAAAUAGGGAUAACACUGAUGUUGAGAAAUAACUGAUAUUUAUCAUGCAUUUCCAAUAAAAUUUAUUUUCCAUGUAAAAGUAUCA